AGUGACCUGCGGAAGGAUCAUUAUUGAAAUAAACCUGAUGAGUUGUUGCUGGCUCUCUCUCUAGAGAGCAUUGUGCACACUUGUCAUCUUUAUAUCUCCACCUGUGCACAUUUUGUAGACCUGGAUCAUUCUCUGAAAUGCUAACCCAGCAUUUUAGGUUGGAGGAAUUUGACUUUGUUGUCUUUCCUUGCAUUUCUAGGUCUAUGUUCUUUUUCAUAUAAUCUUAUUGUGAUAUAAUGGACCCUAUAUAAUAUAAACCUAUACAACUUUCAGCAACGGAUCUCUUGGCUCUCGCAUCGAUGAAGAACGCAGCGAAAUGCGAUAAGUAAUGUGAAUUGCAGAAUUCAGUGAAUCAUCGAAUCUUUGAACGCACCUUGCGCUCCUUGGUAUUCCGAGGAGCAUGCCUGUUUGAGUGUCAUUAAUAUAUCAACCUCUUUAAAUUUUGAGAGUGUUUGGAUGUGGGGGGUGUUAUUUUGCUGGCCUUCUUCCAAAGGUCAGCUCCCCUGAAAUGUAUUAGCGGAACAAUUUGUUGACCGUUCAUUGGUGUGAUAGCAUAUCUACGCUAUUGACGUGAAGCAAGUUCAGCUUAUAACAGUCCAUAGACUUGGACAAUUCUCUAUUUAUUAAUGU
rnacentral:rRNA from 1 species